rnacentral:misc_RNA from 1 species
UGGGUGUUUUGUUUCCAAUUCUUUA